GAUGAACGCUGGCGGCGUGCUUAACACAUGCAAGUCGAGGGGCAGCGGGGGCGGAAGCUUGCUUUCGCCCGCCGGCGACCGGCGCACGGGUGAGUAACACGUAUGCAACCUGGCCGCCACAGGGGGAUAACCCGCGGAAACGCGGCCUAAUACCCCGUGACGCCACCGGAGGGCAUCCUCCGGUGGCCAAAGGAGCGAUCCGGUGGCGGAUGGGCAUGCGGCGCAUUAGCUAGACGGCGGGGUGACGGCCCACCGUGGCGACGAUGCGUAGGGGUUCUGAGAGGAAGGCCCCCCACACUGGGACUGAGACACGGCCCAG
rnacentral:rRNA from 1 species